rnacentral:lncRNA from 1 species
UUUUGUUUUACAAGAUGUGGGGACCAUUCAUUUCUUUUCUUCUGAGUGAAGGCAUAUCAGUUAUUCUUGAACAAGUCAAUACAGCUCUGCAAAAGGGAGACAUUGUUCUGUGGGGAAAAAAGUCAAGGCAGACCAGUGAAUUAUUAAAACUUGCCAUAUACCUGGAAUGACUCAAGUACAUCAACAUAGCUUUUCACGGGAGGUUUAAAGUCAGCCAGAGCAAGCUGGCCCUUCUCUUCUUUAAAUCCCAGGUGAACUGCAACGUACCACGCAUCCCAAUUUCAUGUUUCAGCUCCUCUCCCUCAGUGGGUAAGGCUACCAGCCAAAGAGCUGACGUUCACUCCAGCACCUCUGCCCUCACCUGCUUGCUCCUAAAUGUGAUCCUGCUUACUGUAACUUCUUAGACACUAUCAGUGCGUUGUUCCAUGAAGGCGAGGGCCUUGGAAAGAUUGAAUAAAAGUUGCUAGAAAUUAGGGCUGGGAGCUGUAGCUCACACCUGUAAUCCCAGCACUAGGCAGGUGGAUCACCUGAGGUCAGGAGUUCAAGUCCAGCCUGGCCAAAAUGGUGAAACCCCAUCUCUAUUUAAAAAAAAAAAAAAAAAGUUUCUAAAAAUUAGUCAUGGGUGACAUUAUAAACAAGACUACAAAUAAACAAUGAGUGGCUCCCAUCAACUAAGUACUACAGACGAUUAAUACCACAAGGCCACCCCAACUGCCUGAUGACAAUAGGUUAGUAAACUGGGAAAUAACUUGGAAAAAACCAUAAAAGAUGUUGGCU